AUUAUUAAAAGCUUUUAAUUUGGUAGUAUAUAUAGAUUACGAAAUCAAAAAAUUUUGGCGGUAUUUUAAGCUUUUUAGAGGAAUUUGCUCUGUAAUGGAUAAAACGCCUAAAUCUUUCUUAAUUUUGUUAAAACAGUUUGUAUACCACUAUAUUUAACUAUAUUAAAUGAUUAUAUUUACAAUUUUGUAAGUUGAAAAAUAUAUUAAGUCAAGGUGCAACAUAAAAUUAUGAAUGAAGUGAAUUACAGUGAUUAUUAUUAAUAAAUUAUGAAAAAAAAAAUUAGGAUUUAAAAGUAAAGUGUUAAUAUAAUGAAUAUUUGAAUUAAGCUCUAAAAUAUGCAC
rnacentral:rRNA from 1 species